rnacentral:rRNA from 1 species
UAAGGAAUAUUGGUCAAUGGACGGAAGUCUGAACCAGCCAUGCCGCGUGGAGGAUGAAGGUCCUCUGGAUUGUAAACUUCUUUUAUAGGGGGCGAAAAAAGGGAAUUCUUUCUCGUCUGACGGUACCCUAUGAAUAAGCACCGGCUAACUCCGUGCCAGCAGCCGCGGUAAUACGGAGGGUGCAAGCGUUAUCCGGAUUCACUGGGUUUAAAGGGAGCGUAGGCGGGCAUGUAAGUCAGUGGUGAAAGCCCUCAGCUUAACUGAGGAACUGCCAUUGAUACUAUAUGUCUUGAAUGUCGUUGAGGUUUGCGGAAUAGGUCAUGUAGCGGUGAAAUGCUUAGAUAUGACCUAGAACACCUAUUGCGAAGGCAGCAGGCUAAACGAAUAUUGACGCUGAGGCUCGAAAGCGUGGGGAUCAAACAGGAUUAGAUACCCUGGUAGUCCACGCCCUAAACGAUGAUUACUCGACAUUGGCGAUACACAGUCAGUGUCUGAGCGAAAGCAUUAAGUAAUCCACCUGGGAAGUACGACCGCAAGGUUG